rnacentral:lncRNA from 10 species
CCCAAGAAGCAAUGUAAAGUUUGAAACGAGCCGAGCGCGGUGGCUCACGCCUGUAAUCCCAGCACUUUGGGAGGCCGAGGCUGGCGAAUCAUUUGAGUAGAGACGGGGUUUCACCGUGUUAGCCGGGAUCCAUCUCCUGACUUCGUGAUCCGCCCGCUUCGGCCUCCCAAAGUGCUGAGAUUACAGACGUGAGCCACCGCGCCCUGCCUAUAUUAGGUUUUUAAAUAGCAGGAGGCAAAGCUUUUCGGUGUGAUCCUGACUUCACUUGGGGAAAAAGGGCAGACACAGGGUCUCACUGUGUUGGCCAGGCUGGAGUGCGGCAGUCUGGAACUCCUGGGCCCAAGUGAUCCUCCAAUCAGCCUCACAAAGCACUGGAAUUACAGGUAGCUCAGAGAGCUGCGCUGGAGGAGAAAAGCCAGUCCUGGCAGGAGCUCUGGUACCUGGGAAGCUGGAUGGAGAGCCUGGGCCAGAAUCCCGGACCCCUCACCUCUGCGGCCUAGCUUUGUGACCUUGGCAAAUCCAUUCUAUGCACCUCCAUUUCCUGUACAGUGGGGAUCCUUAUUUCUCUGGCACAGAUUGGUAUUUGUUCUGUAAAGCCCAGUACCACUUUAUUUUAUUUUAGUUAUUGAUUUUUUUGAGACAGGGCCUCACUCUGUUGCCAAGGCUGGAAUGCAGUGGCGAGAUCAUAGCUCACUGCAGCCUCAAACUCCUGGGCUCAGGCCAUCCUCCUGCCUCGGCCUCCUGAGUAGCUGGGACGACAGGCGUGCACCACUGCGCCUAGCUCCAGUACCAUGUUUAAACGGUGCUCAGAAAACGUGCUAAACUUGGUGGAUGGGAAUUGAAAAGAGAUUUAAUGUUUUAAAAAUCAAAGUCACUCAGCUGCAGUGCCACAUGGGAAGGAGGCCUGGAUGUGAAUGUUCCUGGGAGCUGAGAGCUCCUGUGACUGUCGCCAGUUUCCUGUGGUCUCCCACAGACUCAGGACAUCUCCCUCUGCUCCAGGACACCUCAGGACCACCAGAGGGCACUCAUCGCACCUUCACCCCUGGAAGGGAGCUGGUCCUGGGGCCAAAACCCACUGUGCCUGGGAAGCCCUUCCUGGCUUCUGCUCUCCUCAAUGUAUGACAGCCCUGAUUUACCC